GACGAACCGUGCGAACGUUGUUCGGAAUCACUGGGCUUAAAGGGCGCGUAGGCGGCUGCAGAAGUCUCGGGUGAAAUCUUUCGGCUUAACCGGAAACGUGCCUGGGAUACUGUGCAGCUAGAGGGAGAUAGGGGCGGACGGAACUUCCGGUGGAGCGGUGAAAUGCGUUGAUAUCGGAAGGAACGCCGGUGGCGAAAGCGGUCCGCUGGAUCUCUACUGACGCUGAGGCGCGAAAGCCAGGGGAGCAAACGGG
rnacentral:rRNA from 1 species